rnacentral:rRNA from 1 species
UUGGCUACUAUGCCAGCUGGUGGAUUGCUCGGCUCAGGCGCUGAUGAAGGACGUGCCAAGCUGCGAUAAGCUGUGGGGAGCCGCACGGAGGCGAAGAACCACAGAUUUCCGAAUGAGAAUCUCUCUAACAAUUGCUUCGCGCAAUGAGGAACCCCGAGAACUGAAACAUCUCAGUAUCGGGAGGAACAGAAAACGCAACGUGAUGUCGUUAGUAACCGCGAGUGAACGCGAUACAGCCCAAACCGAAGCCCUCACGGGCAAUGUGGUGUCAGGGCUACCUCUCAUCGUCCGACCAUCUCGACGAAGUCUCUUGGAAUAGAGCGUGACACAGGGUGACAACCCCGUACUUGAGAUCAGUACGACGUGCGGUAGUGCCAGAGUAGCGGGGGUUGGAUAUCCCUCGCGAAUAACGCAGGCAUCGACUGCGAAGGCUAAACACAACCUGAGACCGA